rnacentral:rRNA from 1 species
UACGUAGGAUCCAAGCGUUAUCCGGAAUUACUGGGCGUAAAGCGUACGUAGGUGGAGAUUUAAGUGAGAUGCGAAAUCUGGCGGCUCAACCGUCUAGACUGUGUCUCAUACUGGGUUUCUUGAGGUUGGCAGAGGCAAGUGGAAUUUCCGGUGUAGCAGUGAAAUGCGUAGAGAUCGGAAGGAACACCAAUGGCGAAGGCAGCUUGCUGGGCCACACCUGACACUGAUGUACGAAAGCGUGGGGAGCGAACAGG